ensembl:lncRNA
UUCAGUGUUGGAGUUAUUUGGCAGAGUUGAUCAUGUCAGUGUUAACCCAACUCCGCAGAGAUGUAAUUAAGCUCCGCCCAUGUCUUUCACCUCUUCGGUUAGAGACAGAGAAGACAAGUCUGCGCCAUUUUCUACCUCUCAUGCAGUACUACACGUCAUGGAGAGAUUUGGCCUGCCACCUGAUGCAAAUGUUAUAUACAAGGAUGCAACAGGGACAGAAGUUGAUGCAGAAAUAUUCAGCGACCUCGUUGGACAAGGCAAUGUGGUCCUGACAGUUUUCUCAGAUCAGGAAUUCUCUGAUUUCUCCUUGUCUUCUGAGACGUCUGACUCAAGCUUCAGCUCAAGUGCAUCAACUAUAAUCCUAGAUGUUCCUAACAAGAGACAAAGAAUUGAGGAUACACGUGAUGCUGUGUCUGCUAAACAGUUGAUAGAAGCUGUGCUCAGAGGCAAGUCUGGAGGUGAAGAUGUACUACAGGAGUACCAAACAACAGAAACCCUAACAGAUGCUGCAAGAAGACAAAUGGUUAAUAUCCUGGUGGCUCACAUGAUUGACAAUCAUGGGAACACUUCUAUGAUGCUGCAAGCAGCACAGGAUACAUUUCUUGGCGUCUGAAAACAGUCCAGAGAAAGAUUCGUCAAGGAUCUGCACAGCCACCAAAUGGCCCAAUUGACUUUUCUCCAGGAGGCCCAAAUUGCCAAAGGACU